UCAGACGAUGCGUCAUGCAUAUCAAUAAGUGGAGGAAAAGAAACUAACAAGGAUUCCCUUAGUAACGGCGAGUGAAGCGGGUAGAGCUCAAAUUUGAAAUCUUCAAGGUUUUACCUUGACGAAUUGUAGUUUAAAGAAGUGUUUUCUGCUGAAGUUUUGGUAAAAGUUCUUUGGAAUAGGACAUCAUAGAGGGUGAGAAUCCCGUAUUUGACCAUUAUUUUCAGCUUUGUGAUACACUUUCAAAGAGUCGGAUUGUUUGGGAAUGCAGUCCAAAAUGGGUGGUAAAUUUCAUCUAAAGCUAAAUAUUGGCGAGAGACCGAUAGCGAACAAGUACCGUGAGGGAAAGAUGAAAAGAACUUUGAAAAGAGAGUUAAACAGUACGUGAAAUUGUCAAAAGGGAAGCGUUUGACACCAGUGUUGUUUUCUCGAAAAUCAAUUAAAAAUGGCUCGAUUUUGUAUUGCUUGAGACCUUAAAAGCUCACUGUACAUUUUUCGUGUCUUUUUUAAUGCACUUUUCGUUUAACAAGUCAACAUCAGUUUCUUUUGUUGUAAAAGGGUCAUUGGAAGGUGGCUUUCUUUUCGGAGAAAGUGUUUAUAGCCUUUGGCCUCUGCAAUCGAAGAGACUGAGGUCUGCAGCGUAGACUCUUCGGGGUUAGAUACAUUUGUGCUAAGUUAUAGCUUUUUAUAGACAACUUGUUGACUAUAACUAGUCUUGUAGCUUACUCGCUUAUGCUAUUUUACCUACGCUUAGGAUGUUGACGAUCAGCUGAGCGCG
rnacentral:rRNA from 1 species